GGGAAGUCAGGAUCCACUCCUGCCCAGAUGCCAUUUAAGGGUUGGCAGAGGCAGUGAGGGCUUUCUGUUGGAGAUCCCUGUCUAUCUUAGAUCUUCUGAAGCAGAAAAAUGCAUGCGGAUUGCCAGUGAGAGAAGAGUAAUUUAGUACGCUGGUGAAGGAAUAAAAGCAACACUGAUCUCAGAGGUGUGAACCAUGCUCACAGGAUGGUGGUUGUGCAGCAGGUCAAUGUAUUUUUGAAACCUCCUGCAGAAUAAUGUUGCAGGGAUAAAUUUCUUGCUUCAGUGAUGAAGAUAGAUUAGAAUGACUGUUCUUGGCCUAUUUUAUUAAAUGGUUUUCCUACGGUUUGCAUCAUCAACUGUUCUGCUAGAAGAAAAUUUGUGGCAUUUCCUUUCAGCAUCAUGUGUUCUACAGAACAGGAGUUCUGACUACCUCCAUUAUGAUGUUCUUUCCUCAUUGCCUGCAUCUUAUCAGCCCCUGGGCUGCAGGCAGAAAAAAGUAGACCCCCUGGGCUGAUCUGAAUGCUGUCAUUCAUGAUAAAGGAGUUGAACAGAACUGUGAUGUCUCCCCUGAGCCUCCUCUUUUCUAAAGACAGAAGACAUGUCUCCUGAUUCAAAACCCAACCAAUUUUUUCUGUAGUUUUUUGUGCAGCUGUUCAGCCCUCUGCAAAAUUAAGUUUUAUUUUUAUGUGAAAAAUAAAAAAUAGU
ensembl:lncRNA